AUGAGGCACUAUUUUGUGGAUAAUCCCGUGUGCCCCGAGUUGUACUUCCGGCGCCGGUUUAGGAUGAGCACCGAGUUGUUUAGGCGCAUUGCAGAGAAACUGGCGAGCCAUGAUUGGUUUUUUCAGCAAAGGAGGAAUGCCGCCGGAGAACUCGGUCAUAGCACCUUUCAGAAGGUAACAACCACUUUGCGUAUGUUGGCAUACGGUAUUCCGGGUGAUCUAGUUGACGACCACUUGGCCAUGGGUGAGAUUCAAGCCAUCAUGUGUAUCCACUACUAG
rnacentral:rRNA from 1 species